AGAAUCCCUAAAAUUUUCUCAUUACGUAUGCUUGCUUCUCUCUGUGCAUUCCUCUGUACGUUCCUCUCUGCAUCUUUCUCAUCACGUUCCUCUCUGUGCGUUCCUCUUUGUGCGAUCUCAGAUUCUAUCCUAGACAAUGGUGCACCUUGGGGAAGGAUAGGAGUAUCUGAAGAAAAACUACAACCAGCACAGAAACCAGUUUGCAGAAUCUGGUUUAAUAGAGAAUCGGAGCAGAAAUAGAUAGGAGGGCAAAAAGAAAGUUCAGGUGAAGGAAACAUGUCUGAAUUCUUAAUGAUUCCCAAAUAUAAAAACUGGUACUUCAUGUCAAACUAUAAAAUUUUAAAAUUUUAAUUAUGAAUAGCUUAGUGUCUUAGUUUUCUAACCAAAUAACCCCAUUCUAUUUGGAGAUCUACAACUCAAGAUAUGCAGUAGUUACUGUUUGGUGUCUAAGAGAGGAUGUGUACUCUAUUACAGCAAGGAUUGACCUAUUUUAAAAUAAAAACUGGUACUACAUGUCUGUUAGAGCUACUCGUAAAACAGGCAAAAUCGAAAGAUACCCUUAUGAUGCUACUCGAGAGGAAGAUAAAAAAUCAAUACAUCUGGAAUGUAUGAGUCUUAUUUAUUCAUGCUUGAGGUAUGGUCGAAAAAUUGGGCAAAUCGAACAAAUAUUGCUCGAAAAAGUGACGAGAGGUUGGUGGAAGUUAGUGACAGUUAGAACGCACCAGAAUGGAUACUAUGGGUUGAAUCAAGAAAUAAGAGAAGUGGGACGAGUGGUUACGAGAAGUUAUAUUUUAAUCCCACGUGAUGAACUUAGUGGAUAGCGGUUAUGCUUCAAUAAUGCACAUGCAUAAUAGUAACCGCCCGUGAUUGGCCCUAUAAAUAUGAGUAAUAUAUCGAUGUACGGGGGUCGGAAAACUCAUACUAAAACUGAACUUUCAAGCACUCUCCGCCUGCGCAUAUGGCUUUCGUGCAAGGAAUUAUUUUUUGGUAUGAUUACUUCUCGGCCAUUUUUCUUUUCUCUUUGUAGGAGUAGGAUUAGUGUAGUUUUCUCCUGUUAAUCACAUAGUGUAGUUGCGUAGUUGAAUUGACAUGCUUCAAUGUGUAAAUUGUAACUUCAUGCAAAUUGAACCAUGAUUUGUAUCACUAAUAUAUCCAUUGUUCAUUCUGUU